rnacentral:rRNA from 1 species
GACGAACGCUGGCGGCGUGCUUAACACAUGCAAGUCGAACGGUGAAGGGGAGCUUGCUCCCCGGGUCAGUGGCGAACGGGUGAGUAACACGUGGGCAACCUGCCCCAGACUUCGGGAUAACGCUUCGAAAGAGGUGCUAAUACCGGAUACGAACUCCUUGGGCAUCCUGGGAGUUGGAAAGUUUUUCGGUCUGGGAUGGGCCCGCGGCCUAUCAGCUAGUUGGUGAGGUAACGGCUCACCACGGCGACGACGGGUAGCCGGCCUGAGAGGGCGACCGGCCACACUGGGACUGAGACACGGCCCAGACUCCUACGGGAGGCAGCAGUGGGGAAUAUUGCGCAAUGGGCGAAAGCCUGACGCAGCAACGCCGCGUGAGGGAUGACGGCCUUCGGGUUGUAAACCUCUUUCAGCAGGGAAGAAGCGAAAGUGACGGUACCUGCAGAAGAAGCACCGGCUAACUACGUGCCAGCCGCCGCAGUAAGAC